CAAAGUAGGGUAAAAUAUCAUUUGAUAUAAGCGCCUCAUUUUCCCGCCCACAGAAUUUCCCACUCCCGCGCCAAAAUUGAUAAUCAGUCAAAGCCCGUGUGGAAAAAAAAAAAAUUAAUGACCUUUUCAUUUAGACGAACCUAGCAGCUUUUAUCUGUAUUUGCUCUCCAGCGCAACCAGUCCCCAUUACCAAAGGCCUUUUGUCUCUUUUUCACAGCAACAGCCUCUGAACCCACCACGCCCACCGGAGAAAUUGAGCUUAAACGGAGUAGUCUACACUCGUUUCUACUCAACCCAAAGGUUCCUACUCAAAUUUCCCUAGUGGCUGACAAAUUCGACCCAGACCAAGGCUCUAAUCAGUUUCUUUCUUCCUUUAUUUCUGCAAGGUUGAAGUCAGAGAGUUGAAAGAGAAACCAUCUCAAACUAUUUCGACCCAGACCAAGGCAGAGCUAUAUCUUCAACCCUCUCUCUACCCUCUAAGGAUUUGAACGCACAUUCAUUCUUCAGGGCAGAAUUGUUCUCGGAAUCUUGACGAAAUCAUGCACCAUCUCUUGACUUUGAAGAAGGACGGAUCAAGUAUGUUCUAUUCUGUUCUUCCACCACUUGCACUACUUAUUAUAUAGAUGCUCAAAUCUCCCUGACAUGGCAUUUGUUUGUACCGUCUAGACAUUUUUUUCCCACCUUGCCAACUGCCUUACCUGCUUAUACAUUGAAUAUUACAGAUAGACAUGCAAUUUUCAUUUUCUAUUAUGGCUUUUCAUGAUAACUAUGUCCAAUCAGUUGUCUCAUUUGAUUUGUUCUUAACCAAUUUUUCUCAUCAAAUAAGAAUUUGGAGUGUCAAUAUUCUCCAUUUUGCAUUCGGGUUGUGUCCUUGCUUUUAUAUAGUAAAUGGUGUACUUACUAAUGGCAAAAAAUAAUUAAUUAACACUCAUAUAAGCAAAUUGAAACCGUCAAUGGGACACCAGAAAUCUCAAGGAUCACCCACUGGAGAAAAUACAAGCAACUAAAGUAUUGCCACUUCACAUAUGAACACCUCUCUCUCUUUCUCUAUAUACCUAAGUAAUUCACAUGGGGGAAAACAAAUGAUAAAUCCAUGUUACAUGCUUUCAUAUUUUUGUUUAAUUUGUAUCAUCUCUUGACUCUCCUGAAAAUGCAUGGUGAUUAUUGAAAGUUAAGGGAAGGCUUAUUUUCAUUAAAUUUUGUUGUUUGCUGAAGCCAUGUUCAAAUUAUAACACUGCCAAUGCGCCUUCAUUUUGAUCAGCAUAUAUAACUAGUUGAGCAGCAUAUAUUGAUCAGCAAUUAACAAUUUUAUGUAGUUGUCUCUCCCUCAUUUUCAUUUUGGACACCUUUCUUAUAAUUAAGUAGUGGUUGUUACACAUAAAUGUGCAACCUUCUGUAGCCCCUACAUGAAGAAUUAACAAGAAAUAGUAAUUUCUUUCAAUUAAAUUUUUUGUAAUUAAUAACCAAUGGCAGAAUGGUUUUAGAUUCUGUAGAAAAUGUUGAAACAAGGUAAAGUAUAAUAACUCGUAAAUUAAAAUUUAGAACUAGAGAACAACUUUAAACUUUACCUUUUUUAAAUUUUUUGGGCUAUUUGUGUACGUAAAUAAAUACAAAACAUGCAAUAGAGAAUUUUAAUUUCUCUUUCUAAGAUAAAUACAAAAACACACACACAUACGAAACAUAUAUGGACAAGGCCCUCUCCUUUUGAUAACUAAGAAAAGGUUAGUGGUAAUACUUGGACUGGUAGUAGUUAAAGAACAAAAAUUGUUAAAGGAAUAAAAUUAAUGAGCAUGUCUUUACUUUGGAAAUUGAAGUAAUGAUACGUUCAAGUGUGUUACAAACUAGAUUGGCACGAGGCUGGUAGACUGUUAGCGGUCAUAUUUUGAAGAUAUGAAAUUGAGAAUAAUUUAUUUUAUUUAUUAUUAUUAUUAUUUUUUAUCAUAGGCAUUUCAGCGAUUGUAUUGUAGUAGUAAUCAUACUCUUUUUCUAAUUUUACCUCAUUCAUCUUCUUCUUUUUUUUGUGUGUAAUACAUGUAAUUGCUUGGAUUUUGUACCAUGGACAAUGAGGUGGAGGAAGUGUCUGAAAAAUUAAAAGUCAACUUGUGCCGAUGAUUAAAGAAUAAUGUGAAGAUUGACUCAUUGAUGUGUUUUUGACAUACAUUGGAUUUUUUUUUUUUUUUUUUUUUUUGCAAUUUGGCACAUUAAAUCAUGAUGAAUUGUCUUUGAUAUGUUCAAUGAUGUAUGAAUUGUUAAAUUGUCUUUUGAUAUAUUUAAUGGUAUAUUUGGUUAUUGUUAUCAA